rnacentral:SRP_RNA from 1 species
UCUUUAGACCUGUGCAAUGGUGGUUUAGGAUAAUGUGUCAGGGUAGGAAUACAGCAGCACACCUUAGAUUGUUAUGUGCCGCAGGUAUCUGGAGGGGA